AGCUUGCUGGGGGGAUUAGUGGCGAACGGGUGAGUAACACGUGAGUAACCUGCCCUUGACUCUGGGAUAAGCCUGGGAAACUGGGUCUAAUACCGGAUAUGACUCCUCAUCGCAUGGUGGGGGGUGGAAAGCUUUUGUGGUUUUGGAUGGACUCGCGGCCUAUCAGCUUGUUGGUGAGGUAAUGGCUCACCAAGGCGACGACGGGUAGCCGGCCUGAGAGGGUGACCGGCCACACUGGGACUGAGACACGGCCCAGACUCCUACGGGAGGCAGCAGUGGGGAAUAUUGCACAAUGGGCGCAAGCCUGAUGCAGCGACGCCGCGUGAGGGAUGACGGCCUUCGGGUUGUAAACCUCUUUCAGUAGGGAAGAAGCGAAAGUGACGGUACCUGCAGAAGAAGCGCCGGCUAACUACGUGCCAGCAGCCGCGGUAAUACGUAGGGCGCAAGCGUUAUCCGGAAUUAUUGGGCGUAAAGAGCUCGUAGGCGGUUUGUCGCGUCUGCCGUGAAAGUCCGGGGCUCAACUCCGGAUCUGCGGUGGGUACGGGCAGGCUAGAGUGAUGUAGGGGAGACUGGAAUUCCUGGUGUAGCGGUGAAAUGCGCAGAUAUCAGGAGGAACACCGAUGGCGAAGGCAGGUCUCUGGGCAUUAACUGACGCUGAGGAGCGAAAGCAUGGGGAGCGAACAGGAUUAGAUACCCUGGUAGUCCAUGCCGUAAACG
rnacentral:rRNA from 1 species